rnacentral:rRNA from 1 species
ACGAGUUAUCUGAACCUUCGGGGGACGAUAACGGCGUCGAGCGGCGGACGGGUGAGUAAUGCCUAGGAAAUUGCCCUGAUGUGGGGGAUAACCAUUGGAAACGAUGGCUAAUACCGCAUAAUGCCUACGGGCCAAAGAGGGGGACCUUCGGGCCUCUCGCGUCAGGAUAUGCCUAGGUGGGAUUAGCUAGUUGGUGAGGUAAUGGCUCACCAAGGCGACGAUCCCUAGCUGGUCUGAGAGGAUGAUCAGCCACACUGGAACUGAGACACGGUCCAGACUCCUACGGGAGGCAGCAGUGGGGAAUAUUGCACAAUGGGCGCAAGCCUGAUGCAGCCAUGCCGCGUGUGUGAAGAAGGCCUUCGGGUUGUAAAGCACUUUCAGUCGUGAGGAAGGUAGUGUAGUUAAUAGCUGCAUUAUUUGACGUUAGCGACAGAAGAAGCACCGGCUAACUCCGUGCCAGCAGCCGCGGUAAUACGGAGGGUGCGAGCGUUAAUCGGAAUUACUGGGCGUAAAGCGCAUGCAGGUGGUUUGUUAAGUCAGAUGUGAAAGCCCGGGGCUCAACCUCGGAAUUGCAUUUGAAACUGGCAGACUAGAGUACUGUAGAGGGGGGUAGAAUUUCAGGUGUAGCGGUGAAAUGCGUAGAGAUCUGAAGGAAUACCGGUGGCGAAGGCGGCCCCCUGGACAGAUACUGACACUCAGAUGCGAAAGCGUGGGAGCAAACAGGAUUAGAUACCCUGGUAGUCCACGCCGUAAACGAUGUCUACUUGGAGGUUGUGGCUUGAGCCGUGG